ensembl:lncRNA
CGGAGGAGCGGCGAGGUGGGCCCGGCUGUGCGUCCGUGUCAGAAUCGCCCCCGGUCCGUGGGAGUGGCAGAAGCGAGCGGAGCCCGAGGUUUUGCUGGAGGGCGGCUGUCGCUGCAGCCACGUUCCCAGCACACGGGUUCUGCACGCCAUGGGGAGCAGCCAGCAGGUGUUUGUGGGAGGAGCUGCAGUCCAGAGACCUGACCUCAGGUGUGGAUGUGUCCCCUGCUGAUGGGGGACCUGUCUGCCCUGUGCCUGAUCCAGUUACCUCCAAAGCACCGCACGCUCACACUCAAUCCUUCCAUGCAUGGAGCUGUGCUGCUCAACUCGGUGUAGCUGUUCCUGCUGUGAUCUUCAGUGAGCAUCACUGUGAUUGCUGACAGCUCGUACAAAUACGUUAGAAGAAAUUCUAAAUGAAAAUUAGGUGUGGCUUCGUACAGCAAUGAGAGGGGCUGAGGCAUUUGCUGUGUGCCAGGCUGGCUGCUGCCAUGGAGCAUCAUUCGCUGGUGAGACAGGUGAGGAUAUUCAUCUUGUGCUGCACGUGGCCGGGACCUUGGGCUGCCCGAACCUCAGCAUUCCCAUUGCAUGCAGAACAGCUGCGCCGGCCCCGUCCGUGUCCCUGGAGAUGGCAUGUUUGAACGGCAGCAACUCCAAACACGGCGCAGCUCUGCAGCUCAGCCCCAUUGUUCUGAGGCUGGAUGUAACACAGCGCAAGUGAGCCCUGCAGAGCGCCUGGGCCUGCCCUGGACAGGGGCACCCCAGCUGUGUGAGAUGGCUGCUCGUAGCACACUUUGUGGGUUAUGGAGACAGUGUCGUGUUUGUCCUAACCUGUAACUGCUGGGAAUGGGUCCUUCGUUGAGGGGCAGGGCAUUUUUAAUGCAAGAGGGGGAGAAAAAAAAUAGCGCUGCGAGUCCUCAGUGGUUCCCUGCUCUGCUCCAAAGGCCCCGGGAGCCCCGGAGCAGCUCCCAGAGCUCUGUCCUCAAGGGCAGAGUGCUUGCCCAGCCCACGGGGCUUCCCACAGCAUGCAUGGGGCUGGUGUGCCCAUCCAGCACCCCACAGUGAGCUCAGGGAAACAGCAGGGCAGGAGCACCCAUGGGAAUCUGCCUAUGGAUUUUGUUGAGUCCACUGCCAUCAACAUUCAAAUUACCAAGGAGUUAAAAGAAAAGUGCUGCUCCUUGCCCUAUGAACAUGCUGGGUUGGGCUGGGAAUUCCAAGAGGAUUUGUAAAUGAGGUUGAAAAUUCCCAGCCAACCACUUGGCACCUUUUUAGUAGGAAAAAUAUAGCUCUUAAAAAUCUCAUAAACUGAAAGUGGUUGAGAAAUCAGUGGCAAUUACCUAAUUGAACCCUCAGCUUUAUUAAUAAAUCAAGAACAACUGCUCGUGCAGCUGGGCGGGCGCUGUGACCCCCUCCCACCGCCGCGGGGCUGCGUCACAGUGCACACACAGCAGGUGCUCACCGGCGCUGGGAUCCCUGUGUUUAAUGGGCAAAGUGCGGUGCACUGAGUGCUGGCAGGACAGGCCAUUGCUUCAUUUUGCCCUGGUGAUUUGGGGGGCAUUUGAGGGUUGCUUACGGUGAGGUGUGCUUUGCCUGAUGGCAUUUCUGCCGAGUGACAGACGAGCCAUCUGGCGUUACGCUGAAGUGCAGCGCAGCGUUUGCUUAGGAGGGAGCCUGCAGCGAUGACAAAGCAGUUCUGCACCUCCACUGCCUGUGUCACGGCCGGUCAGCACGGCUGGGCUGCUGCUGGCAGAUCAGCAAAGCCAGCAUGAGGUGGCAGAGCCGUGCUGGAGCGAAAGGAGCCCAUCAGACCUCUGCCCUCCUAGGGACGUGGAGGGGACUGAGCGGCAGCAAGAAAAAUGAGGGACUUUCAGGGGCAGCUGUGUUUUACUAACCCAGUCAUAAUGCCCCUAAAAAUCCUUAUUGUUCUUGCAAUGGUCAACUGUGACCUCCGGCACAGGGAGGCCUGGAAGGUAAGCACGAGUGCUGGGCGCAGGGCGAGCACGGUAGGGCAGGUCUGCCUUUGGGAAGGCUUGCUUGCAAGCUGGAGUGGUGUUACAGGCUGGGGGAGGAGUUUCUGUCAGAGUGGAUUGGAAAAGAUUCACUGUUAAUUGUGGUAUGGAGAGUGCACUGUUGCAUGAAUCUCAGGGCAUGAGAACUGGAAGGCAAAGUGAGAGAAAUGAAAGAAACCAAGCACUUUCCCUCCCUCUUGUAUCUGUCUCUCAUUUCUGGCUAUCACAUCAAAAUGCAGCCAGAGACGUUCUCAAACCAACCCUGGAGACACGACCCCUGACCGCAGCACUCCAGCAGGAGCGUGGCUGGUUAAGAGCAAGGUGUUGGGGAGCAGGGGGGGUGCACCCCGAGCCACCGGUCCUUUACUUAGCAUUAGAAAUUACUCCACUGGUUGCAGGACAGUCACGGGAUGUGGGAAGGUGGCCGUGCAGCAUCACCAGCGUGCUGGGCAGCAGGGAGCACCGACUGCCCCCCUGGGCAGCUCCUGCCUGUCACUGCGCCCCUGUCCUGCACAGCUGUGUGCCUGCCGACAGAAGGGCUCCAUCCUGCAAUGCUCCUGCUCAUGUCCUUUCCUCUAACAUCCCAGGGCUGCGCUGCCAUAAAUGCUUUCAGUCAGAAGUAUUUAAAAAGCUUGUUUUCUCAGAUUCCAGGACAGUGAUGUGUGCUAGCUUCUUACAUUAUUGCAUCUGCAUUUCUUCCUUUUUUUUUUUUUUUCUUUUCUCUCUCAGUAUUCAAUUUUCAUGUUUGGGAAAGCGUUGGUGGUUUUAGACUUAAUGCCUUUCAUUACGCUGGGAACUGCCCUCUCCUUGCUAACUCCCUGCUUUCCUCCUCUUCCUGCUGAACUGCUCUCAGUCGUCGCAGCUCUCUGCUCAUCCCCAUCGCCUCAUUCUGAGCUCCAUUCCUGCUUAGGGCAGACGGAGAUGCAGUAAUUGCACAAAGAGAAGCAAUUUGUUAAACAGAACUGUAAUAUUCAAUUAUCCUCCAUCAUGCAUUCUAACACCUUGUUUGCAUUUCUGAGAGCUUGUAUGUGUUGCGUUUUUAUUUUCACUGAACCCUACAACAGUGUUCAAAGCUUUUCCCCCUUUAAUAACUCUACCAAGGGAGAUGGAUAACCAAAUUAAGCUGGCUCCACAACAGUAACUGUCCUUUUCCCAGCGUCUGGUUGCUUUAGUCAUUACCUUUUUGAAAGGGCUUUGUGUACCAAUUAAUUGGUAUGUUUAUCAAUGAAUUCUGCUUCACGUGGCUGUGCCAACAGAUUAGAAAUGCAUGCCUAUUUUUCUUUUUUUCCCUUCUCUCUCCCCGGACUGCACAGACUUGCCUUUGCACAUCACUUACCUAUUUUUAAUUGGGCUACGUGGCUCUGGAGCAAGCAUUACUCAUUUGUUAUUUGUCAUUCUCAGGAACAUUUCAACUGCUUCUGUUAGAGCUGAAUUCUAUGUAAAGGAGAAGUGACUAGAAACCCCAGACUGGGUCCCAGGUCUUGCUUAACUUUGUAAUGCACGCUGACUUGCUGACGCGACUCCAGUUAAGGUAUGGUAUGAAUCAGGAGCUCCAACAGCCGCUGCGGAAUGAGCGCGUUCACAUGAAGUCAUCCUGCAGCAGCUAUUGCAGAAUAGUCAACUGCUCUGUGUAAGCAAGCCCUAAAAGCCAAUCCUGGUCCCAGCGGCUGUGUGACUAGGUAAGGGAGGUAAAGGGCACAAGAAAGGCACCCUUCUGUCAGCUAUGGAUGGGCUGGGAGCAAAGAAACCCGUGCUGCUCAGGGCUGCCUUGCAGGCCGCUGCUUUUGGAGUGGUUUGGUUCAGGACUUUCUGCUUUGAUGCCUUUGAUUUCUGAGACUGGCCCUGCGUACGAAGCCGCAGACUGUUUCCUCAUUUAGCCAGUGCAGUGUCUUCACCUGAUACCGAAACAAGAUGGAAGGAAUUGAAUGUUUCCCCCGGUGUGGCUGGAAUUGAUCUGCUUUUAACCCAGUAUCUACCGAUGGAAUAAACAGAAGCAGCUCCACUACUACCAGGAUGGAGAACAACCACCGACUCUUAGUACCGGAAACAGGAAGAUCCAGAAGGGGUUUUUGUUCCUACGUUACAAUUUUUAUCUUUAGUAUUCACAUCUUACUCAAAGUAAGAAUAUUUAUAUGCUAAAAUAAACCCCUUUUUGCUUUGUGAUACUGGAUUGAGCCUGCCCACCUUCUUCCUAUCACAGCUCUGACCCGUGGAGAGAGCCAAGUGGUGGAUGUGGAGGUCAGAAGGGGCCCUCCGAAUGCAGGGGAUGCACACAGAGCAAUCCUGCAGCCCGUCCUGAAGCCGGUGCAUGGAUGAGCGGAUCUUUCUCUCAUGUGCUAUGGGAACUCUGCCUAUAUAAAUGUCUGACAAACUCUACCAGUGCUUUAUAACCUUGUGUCUUCUACCUUCUGGUAAGCCACAAUUUCCUGCUUAUGCAUCUCUGUGGAAGAAGCCCUUCAUAUAUGUGACUGCAUGUGGUGAAUAGGAGAGCAAGAAGAGUUGGUGUUAUUUUUAUCCUAUCUGUUCACAAAACAGCUCUCCCAGUCACACACCCCUCCAAUAGCCUCGGAGUGGAGGGCAGGUGCAGAGCCCUGUGGGGACACUUGGUACUUGGCCAGGGGCUGGCAGGCAGGAGGGCUCCUGCAUGCCCUGCAGGUGGGAUUCCUGCUCCAUUUCACUGCAGGGCAUUCUGGGCAGACCUGUGAGUCCAAUUCUGUGUGCCCAGGCCAAAGCAUUACGAUUUCAAGGACAAAUUUGGCUGUUCCUUUUGAAACUUCACUGUCAUUUAGCACCUCCAUUCUGGCUUGGAAAAAUGCAGAAAUUCCUAUAAUAAAUGUGUUUUGAAAAGUAUACACAGGCAAUCAUGAUUUUUUCAGUCAGUCUCAAGUGAUGCCAUCCACUUCUACUCUGCUUAAGUGCUGCCCUGGACUUCUUGAAGUUGCCAUCCCUGGCAUAUGCUAAGUAAGUAGUACGAACAUUUCAAUAGACCUUGCCAAAACAAAGCAUCCCCUUCUGGCAUGCAGAUAAUUCUGCAUGGAUAGCAGAAGAUGUACUAAGCUUGAGCCACUGUUCAUAUUUCUUUGCACAUCAAAGCAAUUGCACCAGCAUCUUUCAAGCACCCAUGUUCCAGGCUGCAAGGAGUCUCUGGCUGCACAGGGCCUUUCUGAAUUGCCCUGUGAUGUUAUCGACUGCUUUCAGUGCACAACAUCUGCCUGGAAUAAUUUAAUGUGGUGCUUUCAGUCAAAUAGAAAUUGCAUGUCAGCCACAUGAUCUGAAUUAGACCAGUGCAGGAAAUAACAUUUUGCAGGCAAAUUUGGUGCCUUCUUUCACUGGAGCCCUUUGGUACUUGGCUGUAGUUUUCGAUGAAUAGCUGUUUCAUGGAGGAAAUAUGGUAAUUAAGGCAAACUUUCUUCAUGUUUUAAACUACUUUCAGCAAAACUAGAAAUCCAAGCUGCCAAGCAACCUUUAGUUUUAGCAGAUUACUGCUGGUCUGUGUCUUUUUAAUUAGGCCAGAGUCGAUCAAGUUUAAUUAAGAGAAUUGGUGGGACAACCAGGACAGCCUUCCCAAGAGCAGGACUCUGUUCUGGGGCCCAGUUGGUACUGGUUGAGAUUUGGUUCUCUAUAAAGACAAAGAAAACAAAAUAAAACCUCAGCAAAAUGAAUAGAUGUCAUGAGUCUCAAGCACACAGACAAAGGACAGGGUUUGACCAUCAGUCUGUAGGCAGAAGGGCUGUCACAGACAGCCAGUCACAAUAUAUUCUGAUCUUUUGGUCAGCACAGAUGCUACCUGCAGUACCAAGCUUUGGCUCUGUGGCGAAUGAGAAGCAAAUCUACGGAUUCUAGUGCUUGUACUUCCAGGCUGUUAUGGCUUGCUCUUAAAUGGGGAAAGGAAGCCAAAGGAAAUCAUGUGCAUUGGAGUCAAAUACCAUUUUUAGGAGUGGGAACUGCAUGAGUAUUUCACCAGUGAUUAAAAUAGCCAGGGACCAGGGCACACUAAUGAUUAAUGAUCUCUUUCUGCAAGCUGAGGACAUGUCCUACAGAAUCUGGCCCUCCUGAGAGAUAGUCAUGAAGUACAGUUUGGCGGAGCGUAUUUUAAAGGCAUGAGCAAAAAUUGGUAGGUUAAUUGUUGUUUUUUAUGUUGUGGAUCUGCUGUGUCAUUUGGCUUGAAUUACUGGCCCCUAUUUCGGAAGCAUGCAGUACAUGGAAGUAGCCCUUACCAACCUGGUGCAGCCACACCACUGUCCCACUCCCAGCACAGGCAGGAGUGCGGGCUGAGAAGUUACACUAAGCUCACUGCUGCAGGUGGAACAAGGCCAUCUACACAAUUAUUCUAAAGCCCCUUUUUUUUUGACUUACCUCGUUUGCCUUCUGUGAAGGCGGCUCUCCUUAGCAGGACCCCCAGCACUCCUGAGGUCACAUCCUGCAUGCUGCAUUACAGGGAAUUCGGAGGCCUGGACUGCACCUUGUCCCCAUGGCAGCUCAGAGCACAGCCCCACUCGGGAGGCCCCACCAGCCAUCCUCCAUCCCUUCACUGCAUGGCAAAGAUUACUGCUGCAGGAAGGAGGCCAAGCAAGAAGCUGUGUGAUCCCUAUCAACGCACCUGCCCUCUUCCAGCAUCACACAGACACCACUGAUUUGUCCAUUAGAGAUGUCAUUUUUCCUGCACAGAAACAGCAGUACAAGGCGUUACUACAAUCAAAC